UUCCCUGUGGCUCAAUUGGUAAAGUGUCUGCCUACAAUGCAGGAGACCCAGGUUCGAUCCCUGGGUUGGGAAG